GAGGAAAGUCCGGGCCCCAACGGGCAGAGCGCCAGGUAACACCUGGGAGGCGCGAGCCUACGGAAAGUGCCGCAGAAAAUAUACCGCCUAAGCGCCUUCGGGCGCCGGUAAGGGUGAAAUGGUGCGGUAAGAGCGCACCGCGCCGCUGGUAACAGCGGUGGCAGGGUAAACCCCACCCGGAGCAAGACCAAAUAGGGAUCCACGCGUUUCGGCGCACGGUGCGGCCCGCGCUGGGAUCCGGGUAGGUCGCUUGAGGUGUGUGGCGACACACAUCCCAGAUAAAUGACUGCUCACGACAGAACCCGGCUUAU
rnacentral:RNase_P_RNA from 1 species